rnacentral:piRNA from 1 species
UGUGGUGAUAAAAUAAAGUAGCAUGCCCAGA